rnacentral:rRNA from 1 species
UACGUAGGGUGCGAGCGUUGUCCGGAAUUACUGGGCGUAAAGAGCUCGUAGGUGGUUUGUCGCGUUGUUCGUGAAAACUCACGGCUUAACUGUGAGCGUGCGGGCGAUACGGGCAGACUGGAGUACUGCAGGGGAGACUGGAAUUCCUGGUGUAGCGGUGAAAUGCGCAGAUAUCAGGAGGAACACCGGUGGCGAAGGCGGGUCUCUGGGUAGUAACUGACGCUGAGGAACGAAAGCGUGGGUAGCGAACAGG